rnacentral:ncRNA from 1 species
AGAUUUUUUUUUAGGUGGGAGGGAGGCGAAAAAAAAAUCCUGUUCAGCCAUUAAAGUUCAAAUUAUCUUAUUUGACAAAAUGUGAGAAUUCAGGGUUAUGGAAAUUUCAUCCAUUUUAGUGUGGAGAAGUAUAAGUUUUUUGGUCCUUUAUUAAUGGGGGCCAUUUACCCAUACAGGGUGCCAGGCCCGUAUAACGUUAAUGAUUACUAGAUGGUGUUUCCAAAGAGUCGUGUUGCUUGAUAGUGCAGCACUAAGUGGGUGGUAAACUCCAUCUAAAACUAAAUAUAACCAUGAGACCGAUAGUAAACAAGUACCGUGAGGGAAAGUUGAAAAGAACUCUGAAUAGAGAGUUAAAUAGUACGUGAAACUGCUUAGAGGUUAAGCCCGAUGAACCUGAAUAUCCGUUAUGGAAAAUUCAUCAUUAGAAUUGUAAUAUUUUAAACAAUAUUAUAAUAAUAGUGUGCAUUUUUUCCAUAUAAGGACAUUGUAAUCUAUUAGCAUAAAUAUUUAUCAUAAAAUUAUGUCUGAUUGCUUAUUUGAAUUAUAUGCUUGGCAUUUUAACAUAAAAUAAAAGAUAUAAAUUUGAUAAAGUGCUGAUAGAUUUAUAUGAUUACAGUGCGUUAAUUUUUCGGAAUUAUAUAAUGGCAUAAUUAUCAUUGAUAUUUGUGUUUAUUAUAUGCAUUUGUAUGAUUAACAAUGCGAAAGAUUCAGGAUACCUUCGGGACCCGUCUUGAAACACAGACCAAGGAGUCUAACAUAUGUGCAAGUUAUUGGGAUAUAAACCUAAUAGCGUAAUUAACUUGACUAUUAAUGGGAUUAGUUUUUUAACUAUUUAUAGUUAAUUAACGCAAUCCCGGGGCGCUCUAUAUAGUUAUGUAUAAUAAUAUUUAUAUUAUUUAUGCCUCUAACUGGAACGUACCUUGAGCAUAUAUGCUGUGACCCGAAAGAUGGUGAACUAUACUUGAUCAGGUUGAAGUCAGGGGAAACCCUGAUGGAAGACCGAAACAGUUCUGACGUGCAAAUCGAUUGUCAGAAUUGAGUAUAGGGGCGAAAGACCAAUCGAACCAUCUAGUAGCUGGUUCCUUCCGAAGUUUCCCUCACGAUAGCUGGUGCAUUUAACUGUUGUAUAAAAUAAUCUUAUCUGGUAAAGCGAAUGAUUAGAGGCCUUAGGGUCGAAACGAUCUUAACCUAUUCUCAAACUUUAAAUGGGUAAGAACCUUAACUUUCUUGAUAUGAAGUUUAAGGUUAUGAUAUAAUAUGCCCAGUGGGCCACUUUUUGUAAGCAGAACUGGCGCUGUGGGAUGAACCAAAUGUAAUGUUACGGUGCCCAAAUUAACAACUCAAACAGAAACCAUGAAAGGCGUCGGUUGCUUAAAACAGCAGGACGGUGAUCAUGGUAGUCGAAAUUAGUUAAGGAGUGUGAACAAGUCACCUACCGAAACAAUUAGCCUGUGGAUCUCCCGGUACCGAGCUCGAAUCGCC